AAUUUAUUUACAAAAAUAAGUAUGUAAAAUAUUAAAACACGCCUAAAAAAUAAGAUUAUAGGGAAAUUGAGAGAAAUUGAAAAGAAGAGAGAUGCUCAAAACAAAAAAAUGAGGCUCUAUUUAUAAAAAAUAAAUUCAUAAUCCAGUGUAUUGUGGUCCAUUAUAAGCUUUAUGCAUGCGUUCUACAUAAUCAUUAGAUCAAGAUUCAAUGGCUGGUCAAACUUCAAAAGUCAACAUUAUAUGCGGCAUCUUGUGAAGCAUUCGAUUCGGUCAAAGAACGAUUGAGAUUUAGCGGGUUAAUGGGUGGAUCAUGUCGACCCGAAUACAAAAAUUUAGAUCCUACAACUUGCUUCACCAACCAUUGUCACGUUGCACGAUCGUGGCCAUUGAAUCAUUAAUGGUUGAGAUUUAGUCAAAAUUAACAUAUCAAAUGCACUUAUAUUUAUUGUAAGCUCAUUUUAUCACCUAAUCAGUGCUCGGUCAACAGAAAAAGUCAACUUUUUGCAUAAGCUCAAUUUUAAGCCGAUCUUGACUCAUAUUAAGGUUUUCGGACCUCCAGAAUCCAAAUUUGACAUCUGUUUAUUUGUUUGGAGUCUCGAAUUAUGUGAAAUUAAUAUUUUAUCUAAUAAACACACAAAAAUACACAAAAUUAAAUAUAGUUCAAACGUAAUUAAUAAUUCCUAAUAUGUUACAUAAAAGCAAAUAUAAAUUAUAAUAUAAGCAGAAAAUAAUAUUUUUAUCGCUUGAUAAUCAAACAAUUGUUAAUACUAAUCAUUGAUCGACUAUAAUUACUAAAUUUGAAGUAUCACCAAUUACUCCAUACAACUUCAUCAUAAAUCAUGCCCAAGAAUCAUUAUUUUUGUAAUCCCUAAUCCCAAUAGCUACAGGAUACAAGUGAUUAUUUUCAUUCAAGCAUGAUACUACAAAUGUCAUUAUGUAAAAUAACAUAUUUAGAUAAGUACAAUCCAUGAUGCAGAGCAAGAAAUUGAAGAGAUAUUAAUUAAACUGAAAUUUAUACUAUUUUGAAAUAUUGUAAUUAAUUCGUAUUCAACAUUAAUUUUAUUUCCUAUUUAGAGUUUCAUUAUUUAGUCAUAGCUUAUUUAAGUUUAUUCUUAAUCUAGGCGUAAGACUUAUUAAAAUAAGUUUUCUAGUCAAUUAAGAUAAGUUAUAGUUAGUCAAAAGAAGUGUCUUUUGUAGUUUAUGCAAGUAGGCCUUGAUUAUUUAUUAUUGAUAAUUUCUUAGAACAAACUGUUAGUUUGAGUUGUAUUCAUGUUAUUUCUCAGCAUUCUGCGGAAUCAACGAGUUUAAAACCAAGAUCCGUAGGUAUUCUUAGAAUCAAUGUGGUUUAGUUUAUUUCUUUAUUUUGGUAAUCUCAAGAAUCAAUGGAAUAUUGAAAAUAUUCUAAUCUGUAAAAUAUCCUACAUCAGUUUAUCCUCUCGUUGCAUCAGUUUCACUGUAGAGGUGUUCUUUUAUAGAACCGCACUAUAUCAGUUUGGUAUCAAAGCCAAAAACAGGGUUCUUAACCAUCAUCAACACCUAUCUUUUUUUUUUCCAAACUCGUUUAGCUUUCAAAAAGAAAAAAGCAAAAAGAAAAAAAAAUUAAAUAAUUAGUUAAACCUAAGGCCACCACAACAGUCGCUGUCUACAGCUACCAGCGUACUUUUCCAUUGAUGUUUUGACAAUUAGCCACCACUAUCAUAGUACAAAAAAGCAGCCAACCAUGUCCCAUUCUCCGACCCCUCUUUCCCCACUUUAGUCAUUGGAAAACAACCAAAACUUCCAUGAAAGCUGCCAUCAUUGUUUGCCGGUUUUCGCCUCUCUUUUGGCCAAUACCACGACCAUAUUUGAACUCAAACGAAGCCGACCAUUAAACACCACCCCAUAGACCUAUAGUAUCAUCAAUCAAUAGCUGCAAUCGACACUAGCAACAUCCAACCCCAUGCACCACAGCCAUUGAUUCACCGCUAUCUCCAGUAUGUGUAUUCUUAGAAUCAACAUGGAUUUAGUUUAUUUCUUUAUGAAGAAUCAACGGAAUAUUGACAAUAUCCCUAUAUUAGUUUAUUCUUCUGUUGCAUUAGUUCCACUAUAGAGUGUUCUUUUAGAGAACCGCACUGCAUCAAUAUAUUGUAAUCACAAGCUAAUGCACUGUAAAAACUCAUUGUUGCAAGAUCUAAUAACCACAAAAUAGCACAGGAAAUUAUUAUUCCCAUGUAAUGUCAAGUGAGUAACUGUAACCUUAUUUUCCUUCUUUGAUUCAUAAGAGUAAUUUGGGAGUAAGUUAUAACUGUGACCUGAAUAUUUUACUCAUGUUGCAUGUCUACUAUAAUGUUAUUUAAAGCGUAGUUUUACUUCUCUUGAAUAAAUUUGUUCGCGAUAAGAUUACUGACAAGCCAAGUCCUUGCCUAAUUAACAUUAAUAGGGAACACCUCAUUACAACAAGUGUGUCUUGUCACAUCUCAUCACUAGCCAACAUAUACUCAUAUAAUUUUAAGCUCUCUUUGCUCGAAGAUGUUGUUUACAUGAUCUUGAAGUAUAAUGUGCCUCAAAAUGUGUCGAUGUGGACUUGCAAUCUUGAAAUCAAACUUAUCCCUUAACAAAAUUUUGGGCAGUUCCAAUAUUAAAUUAUACUUGAAAAUGAACAACUUUCCACACAAAUAUCAUUGGACUCAUAACUUCUAAUAGAGUCCAAAGCAACCAAAUCUGAAUGUAAAGUUAAAGCAAUAUUUACAAGCGGGCCAACUUUUAGCCUCUUAGAAUGGGUCUUGAUUAAGUUGGCUUUAGUAUAGUUUAUGUUUGAUCUAAAAGUGAGGCAAAUCUUUCCUAUCAUCGAUUAGACCCUCAUCAUGCACACCAUCCCAUCAUUGAUAGUAUUAUCAAAAUGAUCAUCAUUACCAUUAUCAAUAAGAGCAUUAAAAAGACUGUCAUCCCCAUCAUUACUUAGACUAUUAGAAAGACUUUCAUCCCUAUCAUCAAUAGGAUUAUCUUACUAUUCAGUGUUAAUGUCAUCUGCUGGUGUAUUAUCUGUGUCAUCAAGAAAUCAUCAUUGUAUUAGAAAGUAGAUUAACCUUACUGUAGCAAUGUCAUAAGUGGUAACACUUGUUCUUAAAUAGCCACUAAUGUAAUGUCAUUCUCACUAAUAGGAUAAUUGUUAUAGUAAAUUGGAGAGUAAUGUUGUUCUAUUGGUAUUGUUAUUGGUAAUGCUUCUUUUUUAAUAUUAAAGAUAGAGAUACUCGCUUUAUACUAAGUUUGAUUUUCGUUCAUCACAUUCUCUUGAUUCUAUGCUAAGGGAUUUGGUAACAAAUAUAGAUAUGCACCUAUAUUUCACUCAAUUAAAGCCCAUAUAUAACUCAACUUUUACCAUUUCAUCAUCAAGUAUGUCUAUAGAUAGUGAGCAUGCAGGUUAGGUAGAACAACUCAACAUUAAACUUGUCUUCACUGUGAUGCUAUAAUAAUUCAGAUUUAUUUGCAAAACCUCAUACACUCUUAUAAGAAAUUGAUCAAUCUCUUUCCCAACAAUUAAAAAAAAAAAGCUUUAUUCUUGCCAUUCAUUUAUUCCAAAUGACUAUCUGCUAAUUUCUCCCAUUAUCCAUUAAAACACAUUUGAAGAACAACUUACUUUUUAAGCCUAAAUAAUUAAGAAAAGAACAAAAAAGUUAUUACAUAGUUAAAAAAUCUGCAUAUCAUACAAUUUCUAAGUUUUGUCCCCUAGGUCAUUUUUACUCUAAAUACCCACAGAAAUUUCAAAUAAUCAAAAUUAAAAAACCUAUAUUGUAUACGACAAAAAUACUAACCUUGACUUCUUGUUUUCUAAUUUUUGAUUUUAUCAAUAUAACUACAUUUGCUUCAUGAAUUUGGUGAUAUGUAGAUGGUGGUGAGUUUUGGUUAUUUUUGGAGAAUAGUGAGGUUUGAAAUUUUGUUGAGAGUUUUAUUUGUUUGGCAAUUUUUUGAUAUGUUUGAGAGUAUUUAGAUCUAAAAACUAGAUGUCUAGCCAAAUAUGAUAGAAAAAGUUAGAGUGGCUGAUUUUGAAAAAUAUAAAAGGUUUUCAGGUC
rnacentral:lncRNA from 1 species